rnacentral:tmRNA from 1 species
GGGGCCGUACCGGUAUCGACCGUACAGACUUCGCAUUCCGUGGCGCGUCGUGGAGCAUGAAGGCCACGUAAAAAUCAUGCAAACUUUACGACUGCCAACACGCAGUACGCUCUCGCCGCCUAAUUCGCGGUGACAGGAGGCGCGCUUACGCCUGAUAGGCGUGCCACUGCAAAACAUCAGGCUGGUUCCAAAGGGCUGACAUGCUUCUGCGGAACGAGAACUUGCAUGUCUAGGAAUCGUGCGCCCCGUUGCGGGGGUCCGCCGAGACGACAAUCAAUCCGCAAACACACGCGUAGAGGCGGCUUGUGAACUGUUUCGGCACAGGGGUUCGACUCCCCUCGGCUCCACUG